AUUGCAUCAUCUUUAAUUAUUGUCAACAAAUCACUUGAAAAUGAACUUACAUUGAAUUAAUUUUACUAAUAAGAAUGCUGGUAAAAGAGAAACGCAUCUGGUGACUUAAUGCUUCAUUAAAAUGGACCAGAGCACACUGAUAUCAGCUCAGACAGCGCUGCUGAAUAUGGAGACUCUUGAAAACAACUUGUCAUGUUUAUGGUAUUUUGGGAAUGUAACUAAAAAUUCAACAUUAUAGAUUUUUCAAAUGUUUUAAUUGAUGGCAGGAAAGUGUGUGGCUUUACAUACACGUGCACAUGGCUUUGGCUGCACAAAGAAUAUGUGUAACCAGGAUUAAGCUAUUGUUGGUUUCUGUACACUACAAAGCAGAAAUAAAACAAUGCGUUGUUCACCUGGUAGACAACAAUGAACUUCAAAGAUGUGGUGAAUGAGCCACACAGGUCAUUCACCAUCAGCUAAAGUCGUCCUUCCAGAAUCUCUUUCUGCAUUUUUUUACUUCUGUGUUAUAAUGGACUCGCUCUGGACAGGGUGACAACGGACGACGAUUUUAUUAUCCUUAAAUCAGAACUGCAGGCAGAAACUGUAAGUGAGUGUGCAGCAGAUGUGAAUGACUCAGGCACCGGCCCACGGCACAUUACCGUGUUUUCUACCGCUGCACGUUGCUGCUUCAUUAGCUCUUGUUAGGACAGAUUUAUAAUCUGAGACCGAUCUCGGUAUAACGAUCGUACGUCAUUUAUUAGGGCUUGGCAGUGGAAAUCAAAUAUGGAGGAAGCCAGGACUGGAUGGCCGGUACCAGUAGCAGAGCUCUCAGGCUGGAUGUCCACAAAUGACUUGUAGCGUUGUGUGGAGAUGAACAGCCAAAGUCAAUUCAAAGAGUUUGUUGUUGUUGAUAAAUUUCCUAUCUUCUAGAUUAAAGGUCAUCAAUGCAUCAUCUUUAUAGUAAAAAGGUCAAAUGAAAGACCUUAGCCCUUUGAAAAAAGUAAAACCACAAUCGUCACCAUCGACAGUAAGAUAAUUUACAGAAAGCGUGUGUGACUGAAGUCACGAGUUUGGAAGAGAAUACGUAUUCACGUCAACGCUGGUUUUGAUAUCAGCACGUGGACACAUAAUUCAAGCACAAAACAGCAAAAUAAUUACAGGUAAUCUUGGUGUGAAGCUAACGCAGUCGGACCCUCAAUGACCUGAAUACACUGAGUGCACAGUGACUGCAUCUUCUCUUCCUAGAAAAUCAACGUAAUUACCGGAAUUGUCGGCCCCGAGGUAAUUUAGUACAGCUUUGACUUUAUACAACCAUAAAAAGAAGAUGUUAAAGUGUUUAAUUUGAGGCUUUUAAAGGUCUUCAGUUUUUUCCGGUACAUAAACUGAACCCGCUUCAUUAUUUCUGAUUAGUGCGUUAAAACUAAUCCAUCUUCAAUCCCAUCAAAUGUGAAUGAUGCGUAAGCUUCUUUGAGCCACUUCUCAAGUACGAUUUUGGCGAGAGAUGGUAUUGUAAGGCAGACAAACACAGAGCAAGAACAAGAGGGCAGCCAGCUGUGGAAGAAGACGUAAGGAUUAAACUGAUUAAACUGAUUUGAUUUUACAAAACGCGGUACACUGCGUCUCCUUCUAACAACUGAAUGUCCGCACAGCGAUGGCCUUUGAAAGUCUUUGUUUGAGUUUACUUUGUACUGCUGGUGCGUGGUCGGCUGUACAUGUGGGUGUCAGUGGUAUUGGAGCAUUGGUAUGGAGGUGUGCACAGGGGUGGGUGUGCAGGUUGUACUUUAGCGCGUAACCACCUUUUCUUCAAGCACGACAACACCACACAUAGUUAACAUCCCUUUAGAAGAUAAGGGUCCACAAGUCGAGUCCAUUCGGUUUAUUCAAACAUACAUUUGUAAGAAUUUUUGGAAAGUACUACGCUGGUUCAUCUUUUAAUUUUAGUCGGGACAAGUAAGCAGUAACUUGUUGGAACUAUUUUAAUGAGCUUUCAGCUGUGUCCAUGGACUAUUUUCUAUAUGUAGCAUCUAUCAGUAUGGAUCGAACUUUUUUCACAGCAGAGCAGCUUGCGAAAGUUCUACACCCUGCUUGCGUCACAAAGGGAAAGCGAUGGGGGGGCGGGUGGUAAAAAAAAUAUGAAUAUUUAAAUCUAGUUCCCUCAAAAGGCCACGUUAAUGACAGCACGGAUACUGAAUUGUAAUAAAAACACGCUAACAACCGUAGGAAACGUAGUGGGUGACUCCUUGUGACGUCUUGUCUUCCCAAAUGAGUCCAUAUUCGAGCGGCUCACAGUGACUGUGUGGGUGGAAGGUCCCCUGCCAUUGUGUGCCAAACCCACUGAUGACUCAACCCUCAUGGCACACUUCUUCCAAGGAAGUUGGAGUGGUCCCUUGUACCAGAGGACCUGCCUGUCGUCAUCAUCCCGUUCUGGGCAUUUGGCCGAGACAAUCAGCAGCAAUCCACGUGCAUCCUGGCUGGGACGGACAGCCUCGGUGUGGGAAGGGGUGUAAAGUAAAUACUUUACUCCCCGCUGUAGUGUUUCAUCACCACACAGGGCCUGUGGGGCAGACUUCUUCGUCACUGGUUGUCUCAGCAACACCUCACGCUACGGUUACGUGGUUAUUUCGGGCCUUGGUCGGAUAUUCCAUUUACAUACUGGAGGUUUAGAGUAACUUGGGACGUCACACUGCAGGGACAAAACAAAUCAGGGACCUCCUGAGAUCAUUAAAGGCAAAGCUGCUUUUAGGUCAUUGACGUGUAUUUUAACAGUUGCACUUGCUAUUCAUACUGUUGUGGUGAGUUGGUUCUCAACUAUUAGCUUUGUACUGCUUCAUGUAUUCAUUUCGAGUGUUUUCAUUUCUUGUGUGUGUUACUGUGUGUUGAUGCUGUUUGUUGCAGAACAUUUACAUCCAUCACAACAAAUCAAAACAGCAUUCAUUGUGUUUUCACAUAAAAUAGAUCUAAAUGUGUUGAGAACAACAUCUGAAGCGUGCCUUGGACCACAAACAAGUCCAAAAAUACUCCCCUCGCUGAGCUGUGUGUAAUUUGCCCCUGACCCUGCAGGGAGCAGACGGCUGCUUCCACUGAUUGGAAACACUACGGGUUGCGCCAAAAAAGACAAACAAUCCCUUCUUGUUUUUGACUAAUCCAAGACGAGUAAACAUGAAGCUAUACAGAAAGAUAACUUGUCGAGUGGACAGUUUUGACAAUUGUCCUUCUGCAUUAAGGGGCAUGUGGAUAUUUUACAAUUGAAAACAUAUAACGUGUGAAAACACCUUUAAAUAGAGGCUUUUAGUGAUGCACACCUAUUCACUUUCUAUGCCCAGAGUUUUAUUUCAAUAUCACAACUGUAAUGUUGAUCUAUGGAGCUACAGAGCCAGAUCUCAAUUAGUUUAGCACAUAGCAGAAGUGUCACGCCAGCUUCAUAAAGGGUUAAACUCUCUUUUGAUUUAAGGCCUUAACUCUAUAUUCCUCACGUAAGACACAAGAAUGCAGAUUGAUUUGUUCAUUCAUUCAUUUACAUUUAUGUAAAACAUAAAUAUAAGUCCCUUUUAAUGAAUUCAGAUUGAAGAUAAACCUGCAUCACGUCAUUAAGAAGAGAAAAGGUUCCCUCAACACCCAUUAGACUCUAACAUAUGCAUUGUAAGAUUGUUUUUACGUGGCUAAAUAUGCCAUCGCACUAACCACAACAUCACUUGCAUAGAGCGAGCUCUCUUUCCCGGCUGUCACUUGCAGGUGAAGAAAACGGCUCUUGAUGGAAGUCAUGACGCACGUUUCAAAGAGCCAACGUACCUCUAAACAGGGACGGUCACGGUGAGCUAAAUCUGGCGGCUGAGGUAAAUUCCCCGCUCGGCUCAUUUAAAGAUGCUUUCGUUGUGCUCAUUGCUUGUGCUUUAGUUAGGGGGGUUUAAUGGUCGUAGCAACUCCCGUUCUCAAGAGUCUGUGCGCAUAAGAGCAACUAGAUGGAUCAGUGAGGGAGUGAGCCAGAAAGUGCACUUACUGACAUUAAAGUAUAUCAAUGGGAUUUUCAAAAAAUGACUUAUUCUGCGUAUGUAAGUGUUAGUUGACCCACUAUCGGAAAUUCAGUUUAAUUGAAAUGCUUUCAGUACACCACCUACGAAACCACUGUGCAGCAUCAGGGUUGACUAUAGUACUAUAUUACCACCUUUGGGAUCCUGUUUCUGUUCUUUGGCCACAAAUUACCAUUUUCAGCACACAAACCAAUCCCAGUUGAAGCAUUAUGUGUGCCUGAAACACACGCCAGGUGCCUCAGCCCAAACAAACGCUCAGGCCAUUACUAUGGUUGUGGUCGAUCUAUAAACGCAUGGCUUGUUCCUGGCUGAUCCAUUGACUUCCCCUAAUCUUGCCUUGUUUUUUUAUCCAACCGUGUGCCCAUUUCAUAUCAUAACAUAGGGAACCGUAAUUAACCUUUAAUAUGAUGCUAAAGAAGCUUUGCUAACAGUUUUUCCUCCCAGACCGUAAGGGGAUUUCUAGCUAUUUGAUUCAUUGUAUUUGCAUUAUUAAAGUUAUGUUAUGUUAUUAUCUUGUCUUGUCAAAUGGGACUUAGUUAGUUUUUGCAGGAUUAUUUUAUUUACUAGUUCUUUUGCUGAGCUAAUGUGAGGCAUCCUUGGCAAAAAGUUAAACAUAUUAAGCACAGGGGGUUGGACCGAACUAAGAGGGAACUUGGAAGUCAGAGCUGGGGUACACACACAAAAGAGACUGGAGCACACUGACUGACGUGUUGGAAAAUUUGGCCUUUUUUCUACGGGGUCAUAUCCUUGCUCCAGAUGGCUUCAGUAUUUACUUGUACUGUAGAUCGACAUCUGUAGACCUUGAUUUAUGAGAUCACCUCUCUGAAUGCUGACGCCUUGGCAAACCCGUCUUCUAUUAAAGAGGUCCUCUCCCACUCUUUGACCUCACAGCCUCAAUGCAGCUUCACAAUGUGACUUCAAACCUCAUAUUUUGUGAUGAAAAGCUUUGAAAUCAGUGUGCAAAACCGCAAUGACCUAAUAAAUGCCAUUUUAUUAAUUUCAAAGAACAUUUGGUGGUACAGAAGAUUUCACAUUUAGUUGAAAGAUGUUAGAAACACAUUUGUUGUCAAAAUUUCCGUUACCUUCAAGAGGAAAGAAAACGCAGAGGAAUCGUUUCUGUUUCACAGACAACAUGGUGUGACAAAGACAAGUCACCAUUGUACUUCUUUACCUUAAAGAUGCUGUUGAUGUCUUGACACUGUCUUUGUUUUCUUGUUUUCGCAGCUUCUCUGGAAACUAAACAUGUUAAUUGAGGCACAGUGUUUCGAGGAAUAUGUCUGGCUCUGAAUAAUGAGAAUACGGAGUACCUGAAUUGCCUCCACUCUGAGCCAUCAGCAGUAAUGUUCGUUUUAAGUUCUGAAAAUAAACGGCCAGAACAUUAUGGAGAGUUGUCAUUUCAAGAAAGCAAAGUCAGGUUCACUGUGACCAAACCGACCGAGUUCAGCCGUAAGUUGAAAACAAGUCAGAUGAGUCCGAACUUACUUUUGCAUCUUACUCAGCGUAAUUAAAGUAAACUUCCUGGAGAUGUUUUUUUUUUUUGCACAAAAAUGUAUUUUUGUCUUUAUAAGAAAAGACAAAUUGCUUAGAGACACUUGAGUUAAAAAUGGCAUCAAGGAACUUGUUGCUUACAAUAAAUGUCAAAUCAAUCAAGUGAACAACAAUAGAAAACCCCAAUAACAAUAAGCCGAGCUGAGCGUGAGAAGAAGGAUGGAAAAGACAAAACAGGAAUGUAAUUGAGUGGGUUUCUCUGUCACCCACUUAUCACCAGUGUUUGUCGGAGAUUGGCAGGCGACCAAACCAAACCACAUUAUAUUUUACCACAAGGACGCAAUGUAUUAAUAUUAUUAGUAAAAUUUGUAAAAUGAUGGGUGAACAGCCACAAUCAGGUGUUUAAUUUACUACACUGUGUAUUACAUCAGUUUUGAGUAACCUACAUGUUGAACAACCUUUAUAAUAAGCAUGCAUGUUAUAUAAAACAACUGUUAGGUAACUGCGGUUGGUACAGUUAUAAAGUUAUAUAACCGACCCGCGGUGAAAGAAGUCAAUCUUCUUUCACGUGGGACUCAAACAGCGGCCUUAGUUGAAAGUCAUGUGUGUGUUUAACCGGUUCUCCCACAACGGCGUUUCUAUUUGAUGGGUUCAGAGUGGGAAUGGGUUUUCUUACGUUUUACAAGGUAAAUCACAAAUCAAAAUGUUGUGGUCAACAACAGCAUUUCAGUGUCUCAAAGCUUUUAUUGAUUUGUAGCCCAAAAAGUUCUUGUCGUUUGGAUUCACUCUCACAGCUCUCGUCUCUUUGUUUCGUCAGCACUAACAGGGAAUGGUUGUUGGAACCAAGUACCAAAAAGGACAAAUUCAGAAAUACGAUGGAAGCUUUACAGGAGGCUUCCCACAAUAAGGGUGUAUCUGAGCUGAGUAGGACAACUUUAAAAAAAAGUUAAUAAAUUCAAAUUCUAUUUUAUUAAUACAGGGCUAGGGCAGUGGAAUAAGUCUCAACACAGACCUCAUUCAACAUCAGCGCAAACAAAAGGGACGUAGUGCUAAACGAUUAAAUACACAAUUCCACACCGUAACAAUUGGGCCAACUUUUGUCUAUUCAACCAACUUGGAGUCUUUUUACUCCUCUUAAGGUCUUAAGGUGUCCCAAUUGACAAACAUCCAUCAUCAUCCUAUGGGACAACACUCAAACAUUCCUGUGUAUUUGAUCCCAACCAUGAAUGAGAAAGAUCAUGACUGGGUCAAAAUACAUUUAAUACAUAAGUUUGUGUGACCCUGCAGCCGUAUGUUUUUGUUGAGAAAAAUGCUUAUACAUCAAACACUAAAGUAAAAUGCAAUUUAAGUUUAUGAGAGCGUCAUUUUUUGAAACGAAGAAACAAAAAAAAAAACUUUGUGUGCAUGAUCGUGUAGCUUUCUUUAACUGUGGACAAAUAUAUAAUAUACAGCAGAUGGACGGGUACGACCUUAGUGCUCAGAAUGGUUUUGUCCCAUUGUGAGUCAUGAUGUGAAAGUGGGAUGUGUUGCUACAAAGGCUUUGAAUACAUGUCCAAAAAUAUUUUUAAUAUAUACCAUCAAAUAAAAUAUGUGCUUUGCACAGAUUGAUCCAUCCGAUUUUUUAAAAAAGGAACAUUACCAACAUGAACAACCUGUUAUUUUUGUUUUUUCUAUAUGCACACCACUGUGAGUGAUGAUCAGAUUUAAGCUUCAUGCUAGCAAUGUAUUUAGAAACGGCACAUGUAUUUAUGCAUGAUCAGGUUAAUGAGUGUUUAUGUGAGAUAUUAUGUAUGCACAGAUGAUGCCCAAUCUAAAAUGUGUUAAUAUUACCCUGAUAAAGAUAACCUUGAAAUGCCCAUUUAAAGGUGCACCGGUGUUUGUCCUCGUGUUGAAGACACCUUGUUGCUCAAAAUACAGGUUUUGUGCGAAAUUGCUCAGAGGGAAAGAGAAAGGAGAAAGCACUUGAACAUAUUCUUUGUGCACUGCCUGCUUCUCUCCUCUACACAAGCACAGAAAAAUUUCCGGCCAGCCCAUAUUUGGGCAACGAUACAGGGUGCUACAGAUGAGUCACACAUCAGACUCCCACACUCACCGGCAAUGCAUGUGUGCAAGACAGCAGAGAAAGAGAACGCAGAGGGGUACAGCGAGAGAAUAAAGAAAUAAAAGCUCUGCAAAAGCUGUGCAGGGCUAACCUGCAAUCCAGGUAAUGGUGUUCGCAUUAUCACAUCCGCACAUUUUCACUGAGGAAAUAACAAGGUCAGAGGACAACAGAAGGGACUGGGAGGACAUUAGCAAACGCAGUCUACAAUACGAGCCUUUUUCCUGUUAUAACCCGACACACAAAACCGCCGCCUGUUUGGUCCAUUGUUUGACGUUAAUGUUUCAGGCGCUCAUGCAGAAUGCAGAAAAAAGUCUUUGGCCAACUUUGCAAUCAAGACUCAACUGAGUGACAAGAUAAAUAAACGUAUUAUUUCCAAUUUCAAAAAUGUCAAACUGUUGCUUUAAGAUGUAUUCUCUUGGAACCAUGGCUGUCUGUUCCGGGGGGUAUUCAAAGUGAAAUAAGGAUCUGCUAGUAGUGUGAGCGACAGUUACAUCAGUGUCUCUUUGCUUCGCAAUACUUGUAUCACUCUAGAACUAGUCUCUGCAUUAAGGCCAGCCUGGCUCAGCUUGUCAUUGCUUUCUGCAGUUUCCAGGGACUCACUGGUGUGCUCAUCCAGAGGUAACACCAUGUAUGUCUUUCCUGCAGUCGGUGCAAUCCGUUUCUUUCUUUCCUGCGAACCAGUGAAGAGGCCUUCCUUUGCCACUCGCUGUAUUGCAACUCCUGUGAGUCAUUCUGCUACAUGAUUACAUGCCCCUAUCUCUCUCUUUCUUUCUCUUUUCAUUAAAGUAAUACCUGCCCCAUUAAUUCCUAGUGCAUCUUGUCCCUUUCAUAGACAUGACUAAGAACAGUUCGCUAUUUGCUUUUGGCUUGUUGUUGUUGUUGAAAGUGGGGAAGCCUCCACUGGAUUAAAAUGGACUUUGUGUUACAAUCACAACCCUUGUCUUCCUGAUAUGAACCAACAGCACCCAACAUGAAGCAUUGACAGUCUAGGUAAACUCAUUCCUGCUCUUAAGACAAAGUCAGGGGGUUCGGGUGAGCUCUACUGGGUGUUGCAUUAAACAAAAUCAAUAUUCUGCCUCAACUCGAAAGGCCGCAAUUUGGAGCUCUUUUUCUCUUCUUCAUUACAUCCAUAUUGAUCGUCAAAGAAGUUGCCCUGCUACAAAUGUUCAGCAGAGGCCGUAUUAAAUGACAAUUUCUUACCAGCUGAAAAGCCCUAUGGAAUUAGUUGAAGUGAAUCAGUGGUUCAUUUUCUGCACGUCUAUUGGGAAAGAUCUAGUUGUCUUUUUUUAUUGGCCUUCACCAGCAAAAGUUAACAAGAUUUUAAAUUAAUUCAAAAAAGUACAUUUCAUAUCAAACUCACUAAAAUCAAUUUAACAGAAUUUUAAAUCCCUGCAAAGCAAAGCAGUUGGAGGAUUACAGGUCCUCUCACUCCUGCACACACACACCCAAAAGCUCUAGUUUUGUCUUUUGUUUCACACUUUGCUUUAAAUCCUCGUCCAGCCAUCAACAUAAAACCACACAUAUAAACAAGACGUACACACAGAAUAGUUUAGAAAAACUUGUCAGCUCACAAACUAGAUGUCCUGGAGCGCAACCCAAUCCUAUGAAAAGCUGUAUGAAAAGCACACUGUUCCCGUGUGUCAUUGAGGUGCAUUUUAGGAUUUUAGCGUGUCAUCUAAAAGCCACGUGCUCAAUGUUUUAUGGAUUGGAUGGAUUAUCGUGUCCCUAGACGCCACGCUGUGACCACAGAAAUUACCUUGUUAUGUUUUGACAAUAAAACAACAGUAAACGAUGGUUUAGAGAAAACAACCUCUUGCAAACAAAAUGACUUACGAAAUUGCUGUGUGACACAUACAACAUUUGGUCAACAUUUGGUAGCUAUUUUCCAGUUGGAUGAUGAUGGAUGAAGACCUUUUCUUUAAGAGGUGCACAAAUGUGUAUUUAAGACAUAAAUAGGAGAAUGUGAUUAAUGGGUUUAAUGUAAUUUAUGUCUAUAAUGUCAUUACAUAUAAUCAAAUAGCAAUUGUUAGGCAAUUGGUUGGUAUGCGGUUGUGUGUCAAACAAAGUGUGUCAUCUUUAGGAUGAGAAGGAUUUCAGGUAAUACUUGUUUCAUAUUUAUUAUGCACUAGUUCUUUUUGUACCAUAUCUUUAUUACAAUACUUACUGUUAAAUUGUUCAUAGCACUUUCUACCCCAGGUACGUUAUGGCGGUGACUUAGAUGCCUGAGGGAGGAGAUUGAUAAGCUGCUGCAGUUCUUCUUUGUUGUACUGAGACCUCUUCAGUGGAGCACUCUCCUAUUGAUGAAUAAGGAUUUGCUGGCACAGUUCACAGUAAUUGUUUUUUGGAAAAGUACAAACUUGUCCCCCUAUCUCCCCUCUACUGUGUUUGCUCUAUUUUUGCUCUUCGUGGUUAAAAAGUGAUUGAGAAUCAAAACCAUCAACAUUAAAAUAAAAACUGCAAAAUGUAAAAUAAGAUAAAGAUCUGAAUCUGUGAAUUUUCACCUUUUCUCCCUCUUGCAGAUUCCCCACCUUGGUAAAGCUGAAGCAGGGGUGCAGAAACCGUUGGAUUGAUUUUAAUCAAUCUCGUUAUUGUAAAUUACAUCAUAGCCUCACAACCCACUGACUCAGUUAUUCAAGCACCUGUAGAAUACACACUUUCUACGGUCGAUGUCCUACCACUCAAUCAACUCUAAACGAACAAAAGAUGAGUGCAGAAUUGGGGCUUAAGCUUCUUCAGGUGUCUUUGUGUUCCUUUAAAGUGCAGCAGUACUCUCUCUCUCUCUCUCUCUCUCUCUCUCUCUCUCUAGCAGCCAUCAUUGUGCAUUGUGCUUUGGUAAUAAUCCCUUCAAGAAGGUCCGCAAUUUACUAUCCCACUGUACUCGCCAUGCAAGUAACAUCGAUUCUGCAUGUAAAAAGGAUUUGGACCUGCAGUACUUCAAUAUUCUGUGCCAUUCUUAACGGUAUAUAAACACAUAAGGAAGCAGCCAACUGGGUGUUUUUGAAUCUUACUGUAACUGUUGGAUUAUACGUGUUUAUUAACCGUUUACAAGCAUUCCUUUCCAUAUUCUCUAUGCGGGUGUCUCUCUGACUAUGAAACUCUCUGCCUUGUCUGGUUUGAACGCGAGCAGAACACAGCCUACGUCAUCCUCAUCAAUUCGGGAAGCAGAAGUAUCUAAACACAGCACCAUCUAGAGUCCACACAGCCUCAUAGCUGCGAGGAACGUGGUCCAUGAAGGCAAAGCAAGAGUGGGAAAUGUUGUCACCCAUUUUGGUAUCAAGUCAAGCACAGCAUGUUCUGAAGGAGUCAAGUAGGAGCAACAUGGGUCAAAAGGACAAAAUGAUGAAGAAACAACCUAUUUUUAAGAUUUCCGUUAUGAUUGCAUGAGCAUGUUUCGUUUUUUACACAAAAAUCAAACAACCCCAGAAAGUCUCUCCCACUUUAGUUAGGAAACUACAUCCUGUGAUUCACUAGUAGCGAUUUGCCUUUUUCUGGGUCCUUGACUGCCUGAAAAGUACUCAUUUCGUGAGAGGGCUGUCCUGGUUUCUGUGGGAAGGAGGAUGGAGGCGAGGUCAGUGGUGAUUCCUCAAAACUUUUUUUUUCCUCACUCUCACUUAUGUGGGCAUUUGUUUAUGUAACUGUGCCUGCAGCGCUGACGCCUCCCUCUUCAGGGAUCUAUUACAAACCAGAGGGCGUUCGAUGUUCAAAUAUGCAGGCGCAAAAAGGUGAAGGUUUUAUUGGAGUUCAAAAUAAUGUUUAUUGGCAAUUUUUAGUGUAUUUGCUAAUUACACCUAAAUUAGCUGCAUGGAUCACAUGCUCACACUUAUGGCUUUGGCUACCGAACAGCUGUGAAUCAGCAGUUGGAGGUUAAAUGACCACCUAACCCUACCUGUGACUCCUGUCCCCAUUACAUAUGCAGAAAGAUUGAGGGUUCUUCAGCAACCAUUUGUCCAUCGAUGAGCUCUCAGCCUGUGGAGCAGAAGAAAUAAGAAAUGUGAGCUAACAUUUAAUCAGAGGAUUUCUUCCCGGGCCACAGAUGAUGGCUGCUAGUUUGUGAGUUUAAUUAACAUGAAUAAACAUGCUACAGAGAUACAGAAAUGAACCAGUUUACAGGCUGGUCUCUUUCUAAGAUGGUACACAUGGUUUUGUUGAUAGAUAUUUGCCACUUAGCGAGUUGGAAGAAACCCCCAGCUCGCUAACAGAGGUGGUAAAAUGUACAUUAAUGACUAAUAUUGUGCAAGCAAUGCAGGGUUCAAAAGACGUGAAAGGGAUUAUAAUAAAGAAUAUGUUUCAGGGAUUUGCAGGUGGUCUAUAUUGCUACAAAGUGUUAAUGAAAGUGAUCUUAAGUGUACAAAUGGGAUAAAGUCAUUAUUUAGCGAACAAUGUCAUUGUCGAAAUAGGUAACGAUAAACUGUUUUGUGAUGGUCUUUUUAUAAAAGCUUAGGUUGAAACCGACCUGGCUUAACCUCUGUAAUCUUAAGAGCCCUCAAUGGGCUGUUUCCACAAAAAUAGCAUUAAAGACUGUUAAAAUAA
ensembl:lncRNA